GGUGAACGCUGGCGGCGUGCCUAACACAUGCAAGUCGAGCGGUACAGUUUGAAGCUUCGGUGGAGAGCUGUAUAGCGGCGGACGGGUGAGUAAAGCGUAGGAACGUGCCCCUCGGAGUUGGAUAGCCAUGGGAAACUGUGGGUAAACCGACAUAGACUCGGGAGAGUAAAGGCCGAAAGGCGCCGAGGGAGCGGUCUGCGUCCCAUCAGGUAGUUGGUAGGGUAAAGGCCUACCAAGCCGACGACGGGUAACCGGUCUGAGAGGAUGGCCGGUCACAAGGGCACUGAGAGACGGGCCCUACUCCUACGGGAGGCAGCAGGCUAGAAAUUUGGGCAAUGGGGGAAACCCUGACCCAGUGACGCCGCGUGCAGGAAGGAGCCCUUCGGGGUGUAAACUGCUGUCGUGUAGGGAGAAGGGUACUAAGGUGAACAAUCUUAGUACUUGACGGUACUACAGGAGGAAGCCCAGGCUAACCUCGUG
rnacentral:rRNA from 1 species